GUACGGGAGGCAGCAGUGGGGAAUUUUGCGCAAUGGGCGAAAGCCUGACGCAGCAACGCCGCGUGUGUGAUGAAGGUCUUCGGAUUGUAAAGCACUUUCGACCGGGACGAAAACCCGCUGGCCAAUAUCCAGCGGCUUGACGGUACCGGGAGAAGAAGCACCGGCUAACUCUGUGCCAGCAGCCGCGGUAAUACAGAGGGUGCAAGCGUUGUUCGGAAUUAUUGGGCGUAAAGCGCGUGUAGGCGGCUUUGCAAGUCGGGUGUGAAAGCCCUCGGCUCAACCGAGGAAGUGCGCCCGAAACUGCAGAGCUUGAGUACCGGAGAGGAUGGCGGAAUUCCCCAAGUAGAGGUGAAAUUCGUAGAUAUGGGGAGGAACACCGGUGGCGAAGGCGGCCAUCUGGACGGAUACUGACGCUGAGACGCGAAAGCGUGGGGAGCAAACAGGAUUAGAUACCCCGGUAGUCCC
rnacentral:rRNA from 1 species